rnacentral:rRNA from 1 species
CAAUAGCGUAUAUUAAAGUUGUUGCAGUUAAAAAGCUCGUAGUUGGAUUUCUGGUCGGAAGCUCCUGUCCUCUGAUGAGCGUACAAGUGCGUCCUACCAUCCUUCUGUUAACCUUUAAGGCUUUCGCGGCUUUCUAGGGGCUCAGAUAUUUUACCUUGAGAAAAUUAGGGUGUUUCAGGCAGGCUAGCGCCGGAAUACAUUAGCAUGGAAUAAUGGAAUAGGACUUUUGCCUCUUCUGUUGGUCAUGAGGCUCGAGUAAUGAUUAAUAGGGAUAGUUGGGGGCAUUAGUACUUAACUGUCAGAGGUGAAAUUCUCGGAUUUGUUAAAGACUAACUUAUGCGAAAGCAUUUGCCAAGGAUGUUUUCAUUA